GAUUAAUGAUUAAAAGUUUUACUACAGAAUUUUAUAAUUAUGAGGCUUUCUACACUUGAUCUGAGAUCA